rnacentral:lncRNA from 1 species
GUUCUAACAUCAUUGUCUUGCUCUGUUAGGGAUUAACAGGACCUGAUGGAUCCCCUGGCUCCGUUGGGCCAAAGGGACAAAAAGUAAGUUAGCCAUCUGGCAUUAAUUGCUAGUACGAAAAUGCUGAAGUAUAAUUUCAUUGUAGUGUUUGCAAGCCAACUAACAUUAAGUUAUGAAGCAUCUAAAAUGCACUCGUUCAACUCCAUCU